AUUGAACGCUGGCGGCAGGCCUAACACAUGCAAGUCGAGCGGCAGCGGGAAAGUAGCUUGCUACUUUUGCCGGCGAGCGGCGGACGGGUGAGUAAUGCCUGGGAAAUUGCCCAGUCGAGGGGGAUAACAGUUGGAAACGACUGCUAAUACCGCAUACGCCCUACGGGGGAAGGCAGGGGACCUUCGGGCCUUGCGCGAUUGGAUAUGCCCAGGUGGGAUUAGCUAGUUGGUGAGGUAAUGGCUCACCAAGGCGACGAUCCCUAGCUGGUCUGGGAGGAUGAUCAGCCACACUGGAACUGAGACACGGUCCAGACUCCUACGGGAGGCAGCAGUGGGGAAUAUUGCACAAUGGGGGAAACCCUGAUGCAGCCAUGCCGCGUGUGUGAAGAAGGCCUUCGGGUUGUAAAGCACUUUCAGCGAGGAGGAAAGGUUGAUGCCUAAUACUACUGGAUAGUGGACGUUACUCGCAGAAUAAGCACCGGCUAACUCUGUGCCAGCCGCCGCAGUAAGAC
rnacentral:rRNA from 1 species